UACGUAGGGGGCAAGCGUUGUCCGGAAUCAUUGGGCGUAAAGAGCGUGUAGGCGGCCAACUAAGUCGGAUGUGAAAUCCCCAGGCUUAACCUGGGAACUGCAUCCGAUACUGGAUGGCUUGAAUCCGGGAGAGGGAUGCAGAAUUCCAGGUGUAGCGGUGAAAUGCGUAGAUAUCUGGAGGAAUACCGGUGGCGAAGGCGGCAUCCUGGACCGGCAUUGACGCUGAUGAGCGAAAGCUAGGGGAGCAAACGGG
rnacentral:rRNA from 1 species